GACGAACGCUGGCGGCGUGCUUAACACAUGCAAGUCGAACGGAAAGGCCCUGCUUUUGUGGGGUGCUCGAGUGGCGAACGGGUGCGUAACACGUGAGUAACCUGCCCUUGACUUUGGGAUAACUUCAGGAAACUGGGGCUAAUACCGGAUAGGAGCUCCUGCUGCAUGGUGGGGGUUGGAAAGUUUCGGCGGUUGGGGAUGGACUCGCGGCUUAUCAGCUUGUUGGUGGGGUAGUGGCUUACCAAGACUUUGACGGGUAGCCGGCCUGAGAGGGUGACCGGCCACAUUGGGACUGAGAUACGGCCCAGACUCCUACGGGAGGCAGCAGUGGGGAAUAUUGCACAAUGGGCGGAAGCCUGAUGCAGCAACGCCGCGUGCGGGAUGACGGCCUUCGGGUUGUAAACCGCUUUCGCCUGUGACGAAGCGUGAGUGACGGUAAUGGGUAAAGAAGCACCGGCUAACUACGUG
rnacentral:rRNA from 1 species